CACUCCUGCGGGAGGCAGCAGUGGGGAAUAUUGCACAAUGGGCGCAAGCCUGAUGCAGCCAUGCCGCGUGUGUGAAGAAGGCCUUCGGGUUGUAAAGCACUUUCAGCGGGGAGGAAGGCAAUGCGGUUAAUAACCGUGUUGAUUGACGUUACCCGCAGAAGAAGCACCGGCUAACUCCGUGCCAGCAGCCGCGGUAAUACGGAGGGUGCAAGCGUUAAUCGGAAUUACUGGGCGUAAAGCGCACGCAGGCGGUCUGUCAAGUCGGAUGUGAAAUCCCCGGGCUCAACCUGGGAACUGCAUUCGAAACUGGCAGGCUUGAGUCUUGUAGAGGGGGGUAGAAUUCCAGGUGUAGCGGUGAAAUGCGUAGAGAUCUGGAGGAAUACCGGUGGCGAAGGCGGCCCCCUGGACAAAGACUGACGCUCAGGUGCGAAAGCGUGGGGAGCAAACAGGAUUAGAAACCCUGGUAGUCCCAU
rnacentral:rRNA from 1 species